CAUGGUUUCCUGCUUCCUUAAAGAGCAGGUGGUGCGGAUGGAGUUUACUCCCGCCUGGUUUCUUGUUUCCAGUUAAAGAACAAGUGGCGAGCCUAGGG
ncrna:unclassified sequences wcaG RNA